CCCCUUCGUGAUGAUGAAGUUAUUGCUUAUCUUCUGGCUGGUCUUGGUCCGGAUUAUGAUCCAUUUGUCACAUCCAUGACCACCAAGAACGAGGCACUAACCCUAGACGACGUCUACUCCUAUCUGAUGGCGUUCGAGGC